AGGCGCGGGUCUGAAGUAAACGGUCAGGUCGACUCUCAGAUCUUCGCUGGGGCUUGUUCCUGCCUCUACUUUGGUUUUCGUUCCGCAGAAUGGUGUAGCAAGCUGGGCGGUCCCACCGCACCGGACUGCCGAGAAAGGUUCUGCAACUGCAGAUUUAACCAAUCUUGGAUCAAAAAAAAUUUUUUUUAAUUAUGUCUAUCUUCCUGGAUGCAAUGGCACAUACCUGUAAUUCCAGUGGCUCAGGAGGUGGAGGAGAUUCCUUGGAAUGAAACCAAUGGGAGUCCAGGCUUUGGGAGAGUCUCAUCAGAGCAGAUGGGCCAGCAGCAGCCAGAAAGCUUGUUGCCUUUGGCUGAGAGCACCAUCCUGGAAGUGAACAUCUUGUGAGUAAACCCCAGCAGGCUCAGCCUUCGGCCUGAGUGAAGUGGCCUGCUUCUCCUUGAAGAAGGACCUUGUGUUCUCCCACUUUUCCCCUCCCUUCUUGCACAUGUUGAAAAUCCCACUUCUGAGAGCACUCUUCAACUGAAAACCAUGUUGACCAUGAGCAGCCCUGGGAGAUGGCUUCUUAUUGCUUUAGGUCUCUUGGUAUAUGGAAGUGCGUGGCCUGGAGGGCCAGAAGGCCUGAGUUCUGGUUGCUACACAACUACAAAUUUUCUCUGGGACCCUGUUUCCUUGGGACCAAAUUGUUCCUCUGUGGGCCACAGCUUCCUCCACUGUAAGGUUGUUUAUAAUAAGAAUAGCUGCCAUUUAUGAAAUGCUCACUAUGUUCCAGACAUUAUCUCAUUGAAUUCUUUCAACAGUCCUAUGACAUUUGUCCUAUUAUUGUCUUACUUUACAAAUAAGGAAACUGAGGCUUAGCAUUUUCAUACCCUAAUCACCCUUUUUAAAUUGCCAACUGUGUCUAGGCAUAGUGGCCUGUGCCUAUACUCUCAGAUACUUGGGAAGCUGAGGCAGGAAGAUGGCUUGAGCCCAGGAGUUUGAGAUCAACCUGGCCAACAUAGGAAGGUCACAUCUUAAAAAAAAUCCCUACCCCUGGCCAACACUCUUUCUCUGCUUUAUUUUAGCUAUAUCAUUUAAUACCACCUGAAAUGCCACAUAGUUUAUUUUUCUGUUUGUCCUUACCCGCAUAAGACUGUAAACUCCAUUAGGAAAUGGAUUUUGUCUUUUUGUUAUUGUUAUUAUUGUUCAUUUUCUGUGUCCCCAGGGCCUAGAAUUAUGCCUGGAACGCUGUAGACAUUCAAAUAUUGGUUGAACGAAAAACUCAUCAAAUGAAUUCUUGAUAGGAUUGUAAAUUGGCAUAGACUCUAAGGAAGUCAGUUUAGCAAUAAUAACAUUUAACAUACACUAACCUUUUGACCCCACAACACCAGAAUUAUUUUAUUCUAUACAUAAUAUGUUCAUGAAUGUGCCUACGACCAUAAGUGCAAGGAUGUUUACCGCAACAGUUUCCUACAAAGACUAGAAACAAUCAAUAUGUUCAUUAAUAAGGGAGCCUAAUUAAAUAAAUGGAUAAGUUCCUACAGUAGAUUCUGUGUAGAGGUAGAAAAGGAUGAAGUAAUCUGCAUGCACUGAUACACAACAACCUAAGAAAUAUUUUAAGUAAAAAGGCAGAGUAAAAAAACAGUAUAUUACUUCCUUCCAUUUGUAUUAAAAGGUAGGAGAGAUCUUAAGAAAUACUUGUUUAUGCCUAGACUAUUUCCAGAAGACAAAAAAAAUUUGCCUUGAAGAAGGGGACCAGAAAAUCUAGGCAUGGGUAGUGAAUAAACUCCUAUUAAAAUAUACUUCACAAGCCAGGCAUUGUGGUGUAACACCUGUAAUCUCAGCAGCUGGGGAGACUGAGGCAGGAAGAUCUCGAGUUCAAAGUCAGCCUCAGCAACCACGAGGUGCUAAGCAACUCAGUGUGACGCUGCCUCUAAAUAAAAUACAAAAUAGGGUUGGGGAUGUGGCUCAGUGAUUAAGUGCCCCUGAGUUCAAUUCCUGGUACAAAACAAACAAAUAUAUAUAUAUAUAUAUAAUCAAAGUUUUCUAUUUUAACCCUUUUUAAAUGUAUACUUAAAUGGCAUUAAUUAUAUUAAUUAUAUUUACAAUAUUGUGCAAACAGUCACAAAUGUGUAUAUAUAUGUAUUUAUUUAUUUCACAAACUAUGCAAUUGACCUUUUUUUUUUUUUUUUUGGUGCUGAGGAUUGAACCCAGAGCAUUGUGCAUGCUAGGCAAGCACUCUAACAACUGAGCUAUAUCUCCAACCCUGCAAUUGACCUUUUUAAAAUGUACAAUUCAAUAGUUUUUGGUAUGUCAGAUUAACUUUUGAAGAUUAUGAUAAAAAUGUGUAUGUAAUAAAGUUUCCUAUUUUAACCCUUUUAAAGUGUGCACUUAAAUGGUAUUAAUUAUAUUCAUAAUAUUGUGCUAACAGUCAUAAUUUUCUUUUUUUAAAUAUUUACUUUUUAGUUGUAGUUGGACACAACACCUUUAUUUCCCUUGUUUACUUUUUUAUGUGGUGCUGAGGAUCGAACCCAGGGUCUCGCACGUGCGAGGCGAGUGCUCUACCGCCGAGCCACAACCCCAGCCCCAACAGUCACAAUUUUCUAAAACCUAUUUACCAUCUCAAACAGAAAUUUUUAUAACCAUUAUAGUGUGGUUUUCUGUGGUGUUUGAUUUUUUAAAGAACUAUGCACAUGUAUUACUUUUUUAUUUUAAAAAUUAACUUAUAAAAUAAAGUAUAUCAGGUUCAGAAAACUUAAUAUCCCACAGUCAUAUUCCAUAGUAGCAACCAUCAAUUUUAUGAUAAAAAUAUUAAAAAGUCUUUCAAAUAAUUAAGUUUUAGCCAUCCUUCUGGGUACUCUAAGAGACCUUGGAUAUCAUCUCACUUGUUCAUUCUACAAUGAGAUAACAGAUUCAUAGGUGAGGUGGCUGCCCCAAGUCAAAGCCCAUUAGGAGCACGCCUCCUAAUCCAAGGGACAGUAUUCAAAUUAGGUCACACAAGAGAUCUUCUGCUCUUUGACAGAAAGUGGGGCUUAAAUCUUACUGCCCCAACAGAGUACUUAGGGUCUCUCAUUUUGGAUAUCUCCUAUAUGUCCCAAAUACCAAUACUAUCUAGUAAUAGGGAAUGGGGCCAUUGCCCCAUUGUUUCGGUUUAUCUAAAACUAUGCAGCAAACCUUCAGGACCUAACUCAAUUUCUGUUUCUUAGAAAAUAUUUUUAAUUGCCCUACUGCAUCCAAAUCUCCACUUAAUUCUUAACUCAUAAACAUUAUUAUUUGAAACAUACAAUUAGCAAUCAGAGAAUGGUGUGAAACAUUUUAUAGCUAUAUCAAUUUGUGAGUCCCUUCUACCCACUGGUGUAAACUCCAGGAAGACAGGAAUUAAGUGGUUGAUUUCUGCAGGAGGUUCCCAGUAGAUGAUUGUGGGUGGAUUGGAUUAAGCUGUGCCAAUCUGAAAAGAAAAGAAAACUGAUUUUAUUUUAUUGGUACCAGGAAUUUAACCUAGGGGCACUUCUACAUCCCCAGGCCCCUUUUUAAAUUUUUUAAUUUUAUUUAGAGAUAGCAUCUCACUGAGUUGCUUAGGUCCUCAAUAAGUUGCUAAGGCUGGCUUUGAAUUUGUGAUCCUCCUGCCUUAGCCUCCUUAUAUGCUGGGAUUACAAGCAUGUACCACCGCGCCCAACAGAAAACCCGAAUAUAGAUGGGAGCUCUUCAGAGCGUUUCUCUGUGCCUCCCAGUAGAGCUGUCUGUUGGCUCACGGAGCACUGGAAUCGAUGGAGAUUAUGGCUAUCUCAUGUUUGCUGAGAACUAAGUGUGAUCCUUCCCUUAUUGAACUUACCAUGGCAUUAAUUACACCUUCAAUUGGGUGAUUGUUUGAUCACAACUUAUCUUUCUUUCUCCCUUCCACCCCUAACAAACUGGAAAUUCCAUGAGAACAUGGACCACAUCUGGUUUGACUCACCAUUGAGUGAGUCUCUAACACCAUUCCUGACACAUACAAAGUGCUCAGGAAAUAUUUGUUAAAGGACUGGAUGAAUGACCGUAACCAUCUUAUUUUAUAGCUGAGGAAGCAGAGACCCAAAGAGAUCAUGCUCACUAGUGGCAGAGCUGGGGUGAGAAGGCAGGUCUCCUUCUUCCCUGGCCAGCCAGCAUCCUACGCCUCUGUGUCCUCUCAGUGUUGGAGUUGGAAAGACCUUGGAGUCUAGUUCACUCCUUUAAUUUUAUAAACGAGAAACUGAGGCCCAGAGGGAAGAAGGACUAACCCAAGAUCACAGAAAGAGGCCCUGGCUGAGCCAAGCCUGGUACCUAGGUCUUCUGACUCCCAAGCCAGUGCUCUUUCUUUGUAAAAGAGAAGAAAAAACAAAGCUGCCUUGGGCUUCUUGCCAGGCCCCUGCAGGAGGUCACAUAGCCGAGCAGCUCUCAGAGUUCCUUGUCUAUUCUUAGCCUGAACUCUUAGUGACUCUGUUCUUCAGCAGACUUUUUUUUCCUCCUUUUUCCUUUGCAUUUGGUUUGUUGUGUAUAUGUGGUAUGUGUUUUAAAUAAAGGGUGCUACGUGUAGGAAACCGGCUUCAGCACAGUCCUGCGAGACCAAGGCCCUGAAAAGAAAAAACUUGAGAGAAAGGGCCCUGAGAAAACAAUCAGCUUCCCUUCCUCCAAAGUGACCCCCGUGUCCUAGAGCUGCCCUCUCUGCUGCCUAUCACCACUGCCAACCCAAGGCUAAACCCUUCACACAAUAAGGAGGAAAUCGCCAGAAAGAAUUUGCAAAGAGGAUUGCUGUUAGUGUUGGCCACUGCUGUCUCGUUUUGAUGCAGACUGAAAAUCAGCUUUUCCCAAGCUGUCGAUCUUGUAUCACUCACUUCAGUUGCCCACUUACAAGUCAUUCAUCAGCUACCCAAUAUGAAUAAAAAGCCCCUUUCUACUA